rnacentral:rRNA from 1 species
UAUGGGGGAUAACGUAGCGAAAGUUACGCUAAUACCGCAUAUGCCCUGAGGGGGAAAGGUGGGGAUCGCAAGACCUAUCGUUUUCGGAGUGGCCGAUAUCAGAUUAGCUAGUUGGUGAGGUAAAGGCUCACCAAGGCGACGAUCUGUAGCUGGUCUGAGAGGACGACCAGCCACACUGGGACUGAGACACGGCCCAGACUCCUACGGGAGGCAGCAGUGGGGAAUUUUGGACAAUGGGGGCAACCCUGAUCCAGCCAUGCCGCGUGAGUGAAGAAGGCCUUCGGGUUGUAAAGCUCUUUCAGACGGAAAGAAAUCGCUAUUCCUAAUAUGAGUGGUGGAUGACGGUACCGUCAGAAGAAGCACCGGCUAACUACGUGCCAGCAGCCGCGGUAAUACGUAGGGUGCGAGCGUUAAUCGGAAUUACUGGGCGUAAAGCGUGCGCAGGCGGUUUUGUAAGACAGACGUGAAAUCCCCGGGCUUAACCUGGGAACUGCGUUUGUGACUGCAAGGCUAGAGUACGGCAGAGGGGGGUAGAAUUCCA